rnacentral:rRNA from 1 species
CCAGACUCCUACGGGAGGCAGCAGUGGGGGAUAUUGGACAAUGGGGGAAACCCUGAUCCAGCGACGCCGCGUGAGUGAAGAAGUAUCUCGGUAUGUAAAGCUCUAUCAGCAGGGAAGAAAGAAAUGACGGUACCUGACUAAGAAGCCCCGGCUAACUACGUGCCAGCAGCCGCGGUAAUACGUAGGGGGCAAGCGUUAUCCGGAUUUACUGGGUGUAAAGGGAGCGUAGACGGUUACGCAAGUCUGAAGUGAAAGGCGGGGGCCCAACCCCCGGACUGCUUUGGAAACUGUGAAACUGGAGUGCAGGAGAGGUAAGUGGAAUUCCUAGUGUAGCGGUGAAAUGCGUAGAUAUUAGGAGGAACACCAGUGGCGAAGGCGGCUUACUGGACUGCAACUGACGUUGAGGCUCGAAAGCGUGGGGAGCAAACAGGAUUAGAUACCCCGGUA